ensembl:processed_transcript si:dkey-30k22.5 si:dkey-30k22.5
UGGUGACCAACGAAAGGUUGAUUUUGGGGGUCUUGGCAAAGUCUUGGCCAGUGUCCGUGUGGACUCUUUGGCAGAUUUUGCAUAUGGCGCUGAUAUUGAGGUCAAUUGUACUGAUGGUAUGGUCAGUGUGCCGCCACUGAAUGGAGAGGAAGUGGCUCAGCGUGCAGAGAAGCUGAUUGGAUCAUUUUCCUACAGUUUACUCUGGCAUAACUGUGAACACUAUGUCAUGUAUUGCCGCUAUGGUGUUGAAUACAGCUUCCAAACCUACCAGUUCUGCAAAGCUGUAAGGACAGCUCUCCUCAACAGGAUGACGGCCAUGCUGUCAGCUGUAAUCGGGUUCUGCAUCAUUGUGUAUUUAGGCGCUAUAACACCUCUCAGCAUCCUUCCUGUUGUCAUCAUUCCUUUUACCAUCUGGAUGGCAUCUUGAAGACACUCCGGGUGCAAUUUGUCCUUUAUCUUUGAGGCAGAAAUAGCCACAAAAACAUUAAACCAUUUACUCAACAGUUAUUUUAGAAAUAUGCAGAAUUCUAACUGAAACACUUUAUUUAAGGGUGUUCUUGUUACAGUGUAACUAUUAAUUUAACUGUCAAUUAAUAUUGUGCAUAAUUAGUUUCAUGUAUAGUUAAGUGGCUUAGGCUUAGGUAAAGUUGCAUGUAAUUUUGCAUAACA